GAAAUGCGAUAAGUAAUGUGAAUUGCAGAAUUCAGUGAAUCAUCGAAUCUUUGAACGCACCUUGCGCUCCUUGGUAUUCCGGGGAGCAUGCCUGUUUGAGUGUCAUGGAAUUAUCAACUCUAUUUGCUUUUGUGAAUAGAGCUUGGAUUUGGAGGUUUAUUGCUGGUACUUGUGAUCGGCUCCUCUUGAAUGCAUUAGCUCGAACCUUUGCGGAUCAGCUAUCGGUGUGAUAAUUGUCUACGCCGUUGCAGUGAAGCAUAUCAAUGGGCUCGGCUUCCAAUCGUCCUUUACUGGACAAUGACUUUGACCUUUGACCUCAAAUCAGGUAGGAUUACCCGCUGAACUUAAGC
rnacentral:misc_RNA from 1 species